rnacentral:tRNA from 1 species
GGUCCGCGUGCCCCAGCAGGGUGUCGGCGUUCCUGCCGCCCACCAGGAACAUCACGUCCUUGCCGCGCUGUUCGAGCAGCGUGCGCGUCA